GGUGCCUCCUUCGAUCGGAGUUCAGCAGCCAAAGGGAAGAGAAGAGAGCCAUCUCUGAGACCCAGAUGGGAGCCCGUGGUUGUGAGGGGCCAGACUUUGGGAGAAUAACCUGAGGAAUAGGUGGGGAAUGGCAACUACAGGAAGAAAAGAAGAAAAAGAAAACAAACACCUUUCACUUAGAAACUGAGGUCUCUUGUUGUAUCGUGUAACUUCCCACUUCCUCAUACAAAUCAGCAUCUCUUUUUUUCUCCUUCAAAUAAAGUUCUCUUUUCCCUUUUGAAGCCAGUCUCAUACCUAAGCCUUCUCCCUUCCUCUCAGACCUUGAUCCACCUGUCACUCUCUCUCUCUCUCUCUCUCUCUCUCUCUCGUACAUUAUAUCUUGUCCCUGCUUCCCAUCCCUAUGCAUAUAAAUAUCUUCUCAUCUUUCCCAGUUUAACCCACUGCUUCAAACCCAUAUGUCCCUCUAACUAUGCCACAAUUAACUUUCCUACAGUUAUCUGUACCUUCUCAUUCUCAACUGGCUUAUACCUCCAUUUAUGUCA